AGCCUGAUCCACCACGGGGAGCAGAGACCGCCCAGGCAGAGUUCCCCGUGGCCGUGCUUUGUUUGCUUUGCACCAGUGCGACAUGGCGAAGAGGAGGAGGAAGCUCAUUGUUUCCCUCUUCAGCUCCAUGCCAGCCGUGGAGCGCAGGGCUUAGCACCAUGUGGAAGAGAAGAUUGAGCACGGAUGUCACAAAACAUUACACUGCCUAUCAGUAACACAUGUGAGUUUUUUUUUUUUUUUUUCUUUUUCUCCUCCACAGAGGAGAAAUAGUCUUGAAGCUCUGCAGCUGAACCACGCUCUGUGUGCUCAGGCCUGGAGGCCUUCCCUCGGGAAGCUCAGCAGGCCGCAGGAGGAGCAGCACACCUUGAGGUUCAGGCUCAUUCCUCCCAGCUUUCCUCAGCACCUCCAUACCCCUCCCUGAGUGCCUCCCACCCGAAAUCCCACCGGUGUGCUGGUGGGCGAGCACACAGGGAGAGCACAGCGUGGUGAGCCGAAGGCUGUGCAGGCCAUCAGGGAGCUGCACUUCUGUCUUCAUUUCCACUCCCCUUUCGCCUCAGGCAAAUCCCUUCCCCUUCCUGCACCUUCGUGUCCCUCCCGCUUGUAAUAAGCCUGUCUCAGCUGCAGGUUUUUUGGAAAGGAAAUGAUCUGUGUGUGUGCAUGAGUGAGCGCAGCGGCCUGCGCAGGGUGGCCCAGCCUCACCUGGCAGUGAAGGGUGCUGGGCCCGUGAGGUGAAGCAAGAGCCAUCGCUCCCUGCUCUGGUGGAGCGCCUCCAAACACCUUCAAGCGAACUUCAUUUUGUUUUAAGUCAGGUGUGGGAUGAGGAGCGACUCCAGCAGUAAACAACAGCUCCUUUCACUGCCUCACGCCUCUGUCGGGCGUGUUAUCUGGCAAUCGUGCUGCGGUACGAAGCACAGCAGUGCAGCAAAAGCGCCAUAAAAACCAGCCAGCGCUGACAGAGUGAUUUGCCUUUUUUAAGGUCUGUAAAUCUGAGGCAAAGCGCACGCAGUGAAAUCUCUGCUUCUGGGAGCUCUCCUGUCUAAGGGCAGCAUUUACAGUAUGCUUCCAGCUAUGCCGUCCUCUCUUUGAACCUCUAGGAAAAGGAGACCACCGGAGCUCAAAAGAGUGGUGUAAAGGUCGCAGGCUUAAGUCAGCCUCCACGUUUGAGGAUACUCAUCCAAACUACAUGUGAUUACAGUUACGGAAGGUGUUAUGCUGCUAACUCCAUGGGACUAUGCCGGGUGGAAAUGCCAGCAUGAAGAUCAUCAUGGACACAGCCAUCCUCCUAGGCACCUGCGUUUCAUCCCCAGGCCGCCCACCUAGCUUGGUGGCUCUGUGAGCUCCUCAUUUCUUGGAUCAGCUGCUCACACCACGACUACUCUAAUAUGUCGCGUAAACAGGCAGUAAAAACAAGCUGCAUUUAUUUUAGUCUUUUUUUUUUUUUUUUUGUGAAAUGAUACAGAGAUGCACAGUGGAGAAAGAUUCUAAAAUCCAUAUAUUGUCCUAUACUGUUACAUGCAAAGAGAGACAGCUACUUCAGAAAAAAAAAAAAUGCCGCUUUUAUUGUUUAUUAGCUUUCUCAGAUACAUACAACUUUAUGUAGUAGAUUAGCCCUGGAAAUAUGAACCUGUUCUAGAUUGGGAGGUUUCAAAAGGUUUUUUGUUUGUUUGUUUGUUUUUUAAGUUUGAGAGUUAUCAACAUCUACCCGCUGAACUUAAAAAAUAAAAUCAUUAAGCUUUUCCUACUAAGUGAACUAUUGAACUGGGCAAAAUUCGGAUGCUUGUGCAUUUUACAGACACAUCAGUUCUGAUGCAGAUGUUUUGUAAAGUAGUGGGGAUAUUUUUUAAUAUGUGAGGUUUGAAAUUUAAAUCUCCUUUUAACAUCCUUAUUUGUUGACACAUUCAUAGAAUUUCCAGUCUAGUGCAUAAUCAUACAAAAAAAAAAAGUCUGGCAAAUGUUUUGUUCUUUAUGCUUUUGCAAAUAU